rfam:Myotis davidii contig219991, whole genome shotgun sequence.
AGGCCUGCAGAAAGAGAGGCAGGGUCUGAUCUGCAGCCUCAGUGGCAGCUGUUGAUCAGCCAUUGCCUCUCCUUUUCUCUCUG